UCAAAUGAUAGUAUUUUGAAUAUGUUAAAUACAUAUCAUUAGACUAUUGGUAUUUCAUUAUUUAACAUUUAAAAUGCAUGUGUAUUUAUGUGUGUAUAUGUGCAUGCAGGUGUGCAGGUGAAUUUGCACAUGGGUGUGCAUGUGUACAUUGUGAAGAGUCCAGAGGACAGCCUCAGGUUUCAUCCUCGGGAGCGUUCUCCACCUCCUUCGAGACAGACUUUCCCAUUAGCCUGGAUCUCAUUGUUAAGCCAGCCUGUCUACCUAGCAAGGCCGAGGUGUCCUCCCGUGUCUGCCUUCACAGGGCUAGGAUCAUGAGCCUUACCAUGCCCAGCCAUCUCAGGGCUUCUGGAGGCUGAACUCAGCUCUUUAUGCUUGCAAGGCAAGCACUUUCCUGUCUCAGCUAACUCUUUUUCAAAAGAUUCAUUUACUUUAUAUAUAUGACUACACUGUUGCUAUCCACUUUAGCUGUCUUCAGACACACCAGAACAGGGCAUCGGAUCUCAUUACAGAUGGUUGUGAACCACCAUGUGGUUGCUGGGAAUUGAACUCAGGACCUCGGGAAGAGUAGUCAGUGCUCUUAACCUCUGAGCCAUCUCUCCAGCCCCUCAGCCAGCUCUUAAGCUUCAUUUUUUUUCUUUUAAAAUAUGGCCAGACAUUAGGAACUGGAAUAGUGACACAAGCCUUCAUGCCAGCACUCAGGAGGCAGAGUGGAUCUCUGUGAGUUGGAGGACAGCCAGGUCUACAAAGUGAGUUGUAGUUUAGCCAAGAGACCUCCUGUCUCAACAAACAUGUUUAUGUGUGUAUAUAGGCACAUACACAUACACGUAUGUAUGUAUGUAUGUAUAUACACACACACACACAAUUAGAGUGGGAUGGGAUAUGCUGUUGUAUGCCUUUAAUCCCAGCAUCAGGAGGCAAAGGUAUGAAGAGCUCUGUGAGUUCCAGGCUAACCAGAGUUGCAUGGUAUGAGAGACGACCUCUCAAAACAAAGCAAUAAAUAGAUAAAGUAAAAUAUGUAUAUGUGUGUGUAUGUAUAUAUGUGUGUGUGUGUACAUGUGUAUGAAUGUAUUUGUGCAUAUGUGUGUGCAUGUAUACAUGUAUUUGUGAUGGUUUGUACUUGCUUGGCCCAGGAAGUGGCACUAUUAAGAGGUGUGGCCUUAUUGGAGUGGGUGUGUCACAGUGAAAAUGGGCUUAAUACCCUCACCCUAGCUGCCUAGAAGUCAGUCUUCCACUAGCAGCCUUCAGAUGAAUAUGUAGAACUCUCAGCUUCUCCUGCACCAUGCCUGCCUGGAUGCUGCCAUGUUCCUGCCUUGAUGGUAGUGAACUAAACCUCUGAAUGUGUAAGCCAGCCCCAAUUAAAUGUUGUCUUUAUGAGAGUUGCCUUGGUCAUGGUGUCUGUUCACAGCAAUGAAAACCUAACUAAGACAGUAUGUAUGUGUGCAUAAGUGUAUGUGUGUGAGUACAUACAUAUGUAUAUGCAUCUUUGUGCAUGUGUGCAUGUGCACGUGUGUGUGUUUGUAAGCUAAAGGUGUGUGUGUGUGUAUGUGUGUGUGUAAGCUAGAGGUCUGUCUCAGAUGCCCUUUGUCAGGAGUCAUCCACUUUGAUCUUUUUAAAAGAUUACUUAUUUUAUGGGUCUGAGUUUUUUCCUGCUGGUGUGCAUGUGUGCCAUGUGAGUGGCUGGA
rnacentral:lncRNA from 1 species